ACGGCUCAGUAACACGUGGCUAACCUGCCCUCGAGACGGAAACAACCCCGGGAAACUGGGGCUAAUUUCCGAUAGGCGAAGAGCUCUGGAAUGAGCCUUCACCCAAACAGCAACUAGGCUAUGCUUCUAAUUGUCGCUCGAGGAUGGGGCCGCGACCGAUCAGGUUGUUGGUGAGGCAACGGCUCACCAAGUCUAUAACCGGUGCGGGCCGUGGGAGCGGGAGCCCGGAGAUGGGCACUGAGACAAGGGCCCAGGCCCUACGGGGCGCAGCAGUCGCGCAAACUUUGCAAUACACGAAAGUGUGACAGGGCUAUCCCGAGUGCCGUCCGCUGAGGAUGGCUUUUACCCAGUCUAGAACGCUGGGGGAAUAAGGAGAGGGCAAGUCUGGUGUCAGCCGCCGCGGUAAUACCAGCUCUCCGAGUGGUGUGGAUGUUGAUUGGGCCUAAAGCAUCCGUAGCUGGCCAAGUCAGUCCCUUGUUAAACCCACCGAACCAAUCGUUGGAUUGCGGGGGAUACUACUCGGCUAGGGGACGAGAGAGGCAGACGGUAUUUUCGGGGUAGGGGUGAAAUCCUAUAAUCCCGGGAAGACCACCAGUGGCGAAGGCUGUCUGCUAGAACGCGCCCGACGGUGAGGGAUGAAAGCUGGGGGAGCGAACCGGAUUAGAUACCCGGGUAGUCCCAGCUGUAAACGAUGCAGGCUAGGUGUUUGGACGGCCACGUGCCGUUCUAGUGCCGCAGGGAAGCUGUUAAGCCUGCCGCCUGGGGAGUACGGUCGCAAGAUUGAAACUUAAAGGAAUUGGCGGGGGAGCAC
rnacentral:rRNA from 1 species